AGAACGAACGCUGGCGGCAUGCCUAAUACAUGCAAGUCGAACGAACUCUUCGGAGUUAGUGGCGCACGGGUGCGUAACGCGUGGGAAUCUGCCCCUUGGUUCGGAAUAACAGUUGGAAACGACUGCUAAUACCGGAUGAUGACGAAAGUCCAAAGAUUUAUCGCCAAGGGAUGAGCCCGCGUAGGAUUAGCUAGUUGGUGAGGUAAAGGCUCACCAAGGCAACGAUCCUUAGCUGGUCUGAGAGGAUGAUCACGCCACACUGGGACUGGACGACGACGGCCCAGGACUACCGUACGGGACGGCAGGCAGGUAGGGAAUAGUUAGGACAAGUGGGACGAAAGCCGUAGA
rnacentral:rRNA from 1 species